rnacentral:tRNA from 1 species
UAGUCAUGGCGCAGUGGCACAAGCGUGUCACUAUAAAUUUGACAUGUUGUGGGUUCGAUUCCCACUUGAGGAA